UCUGGGCAAAAAAGGAGCAGAGUCUUGCC
rnacentral:piRNA from 1 species